rnacentral:rRNA from 1 species
AUUGAACGCUGGCGGCAUGCUUUACACAUGCAAGUCGAACGGCAGCGCGGGCUUCGGCCUGGCGGCGAGUGGCGAACGGGUGAGUAAUACAUCGGAACGUGCCCAGUAGUGGGGGAUAGCUCGGCGAAAGCCGGAUUAAUACCGCAUACGACCUGAGGGUGAAAGCGGGGGAUCUUCGGACCUCGCGCUAUUGGAGCGGCCGAUGGCAGAUUAGCUAGUUGGUGGGGUAAAGGCCUACCAAGGCGAAGAUCUGUAGCUGGUCUGAGAGGACGACCAGCCACACUGGGACUGAGACACGGCCCAGACUCCUACGGGAGGCAGCAGUGGGGAAUUUUGGACAAUGGGCGAAAGCCUGAUCCAGCAAUGCCGCGUGUGUGAUGAAGGCCUUCGGGUUGUAAAGCACUUUUGGCGGGAACGAAAAGGACUGUGCCAAUACCACGGUUCGAUGACGGUACCCGCAGAAUAAGCACCGGCUAACUACGUG